rnacentral:rRNA from 1 species
CUAAGUUUGAUGGCGACCGGCGCACGGGUGAGUAACACGUAUCCAACCUGCCGAUGACUCGGGGAUAGCCUUUCGAAAGAAAGAUUAAUACCCGAUGGCAUAGUUCUUCCGCAUGGUAGAACUAUUAAAGAAUUUCGGCCAUCGAUGGGGAUGCGUUCCAUUAGGUUGUUGGCGGGGUAACGGCCCACCAAGCCUUCGAUGGAUAGGGGUUCUGAGAGGAAGGUCCCCCACAUUGGAACUGAGACACGGUCCAAACUCCUACGGGAGGCAGCAUG